AUCAGCUCUCUCCUACAGUUCAAGUUCCAAACCUGUUUUUUUUCUGAGUUUAAUAAACCCGUAGAGGUGCUACAGUUGUGUUGUUAAACAUUUACGAGUUAAACCAUCGUAAGAAAAUCUCUGAAUAGAAAUCAGAACAUAGGUUUGUCAUAUAUGCCAUUUGUUUAAGAAUUCUUACCCGGCUAAGAAUUAUUCCUAUUGGAAUAGAAUCAAAAGAGGACGUUGGUGCAUGGAACAACAAACUGAGUAACUAGGAAAAGAAGGAUCUUCAUGCCUCGAUCCCAAGAACAACGACUGAUGAAGAUCUUGAUAGCAAGAAGAACAUUGCUCAAGUUCCGACAAUAAUGUACAAAGAAGUUAACUUCAGCGUACUAACAUGAGGAUUUUGGACAUUAGCAGCCAUCCAUGUAUUCUGUGAUAUUUGCCCAGCUAUGUAAAUGUGGAAAGUAACAUAAAAGGAGGGUUACAAGAAGCCUUAGUUCUCGGGUAGGCAAAGCAUAUAAGGCUUAACACCCGCAUCCCCCGUUUCUCUUUCUUCUUUGUUGAUCAGUUGAUCUGAUGGUGAUGGCUUUACAGAAUCGAUAUCUGCUCCAUGAAUACCAUGUGUCUCCACUCUCCUUUAUUUGGCAUUUCCUUAGUUCUUUGAGGAGCUAUACUGUCAUUAAAGUCUCAAACACCAAUUGUAUCUUUAUGGGCAUUUACAAGGUCUUUAAAUUCUUGGCAAUCUGCCAAAAUAUCUGCAUAAGGCACAGACCGAAUAACCUCUCCAUCUGAAAUUAACCGCCAGGAGGCCACUUGGUACAAGAAUAAUAGAAAUAACAUCACUGAGAUUUAAAUUAUAAUUCGACUUGUUCGUCUGAAAAUAGAAUUCAACAACUGUUUACACUUUGUAUAGAAAAUUCAUUUUUUCAAGUUUUCUUUAUCGCUUCUGAGAACAAAUUUGUUUAUGUUGUUUUGUACCUUUCCUUAUAGACCACUAAUAUUGCACUUUGAGUCUUUUUUUUGCGAAUAAUUACACUUUGAGUCUGAUAUUCUUGGAACAGCUUCAGACCAGAAACGAUUGUUUUGAGAAGUCAAUAGGCCCUCUCCUACUACACUAGGUUAUUCAUUCGGACUGGAUCAAAUCCAGUAGCAAAGACAUACAGCAGUGGAGGUCUAAUCAAAAGAGACUACUUCCAGUUGAUUCAGGAAAAUGAGAUGUAGGGUCGGUGUUAGGCCAGGAGCACGGCGGCAUGCGACACUACGACAUAAGAAAGGGCUGUACGGCGAGGCAAUGUGCACCAGCCCUAUGUGACUGCAAGGAGUCAUGAGGCUGUCCAUCGCACCUUGUGCCUUGCUCGCUCUGCCUCCGGGCAAUGUGUCGCAGGGUGAAGGUUGAGGGCUCAGAUGAAGCCGGCACUGACGGAGGAAGGGUCAUCAGGGCGAGGGGCGAACACGGACCUGGAGGUGGCACACGCGGUGACUGCUGACAUGAGCUGAUGUAUUUCUCGUUUUCUCUAAUGCAAGUUCGCUGAUGCUUCUUGCUAUUUGGUCCAGCUCUCUGUUCAUGUUUGUCUUAGCAGUACAUUUUCAUGUUUUUAAUGCAUCGACGGAUGAUUAAGAGGUUUGGCACCCAGUCUUGUGUUCUGUUUUCUUUUGCGCAGAUCUUCUAGAUGUGUUUGACGUGACCAUGCACUUUUUUGACAUGUUCAUGUUCUAUUAGAUGUGUUAAUCUGUUUUGUU